GAUGAAGAACGUAGCGAAAUGCGAUAAGUAAUGUGAAUUGCAGAAUUCAGUGAAUCAUCGAAUCUUUGAACGCACAUUGCGCCCGCUAGUAUUCUGGCGGGCAUGCCUGUCCGAGCGUCAUUUCAACCCUCAAGCCCCCGGGCUUGGUGUUGGGGAUCGGCGAGCCUCCGCGCCCGCCGUCCCCUAAGUCUAGUGGCGGUCUCGCUGUAGCUUCCUCUGCGUAGUAGCACACCUCGCACUGGGAAACAGCGCGGCCACGCCGUUAAACCCCCAACUUCUGAACGUUUGACCUCGGAUCAGGUAGGAAUACCCGCUGAACUUAAGCAUAUCAAUAAGCGGAGGA
rnacentral:misc_RNA from 1 species